rnacentral:lncRNA from 1 species
CACACACUAACAGAAGGCCUUUUCUCUUUGUUGAGAUCUGAUUCCAAAUGUAAAUAGGUUCCAUAAUUUGUCUGCUGUUACUGGUUCCACCUUCCACUUACUUUAUGUGAUAUGUAGUGUCCCCUGUUUCUCAUACUGUCUCUUAUGGUCUUAUGGUCUAUUAAUUACCUGUAAAAAAAAGAAGCUUAGAACCUCAGAUAAUCCAUAAUAUUCGAGAAGUUUAUCAGAAGAGCUUUUUUAGUCUGUUUGCCUCUGUAUGUACAGAACAGAGGAUGCACAUGUGUGCAUGAGUAUGAAUGUUUGUGUUUGUCUGUGUGUUUAUUUUAGGGGCUCAGUAGGAGCUACCCACCCACCCUUAAUUUCUUGAGGUUAUGUGACUGCCUGGAAGACUGUUUCCACCCCAAACCAUGACUCCGAUCUGACUCCGAUCUGGUGGGGGAUGGAGGAAUGAUAGUUUGAGUUAUACAGUGUUUUGAUCAAACACACACACGUCCAACCUCUAUCCUUCCCUGGUCAGACCUCUGCCCCCACAGAAUGAUCACAGAGAGAAAAAAAAUAGUGACUUGGCGCUCCCAGGCAGAGUACGAGCUCAGAGUUGGAGUGUAAUUCAGGAGAUGUGAUCAGUCAGGGCUGAGUGGAGUGGAGCCUCAGAGAAAAGCUGUACACAUACACAGCAGCCCAGAAAGGCACACAGAGCCUUCUCCUUAAAUGGUCAAAGCUCCCAGGAGUGAAAGAGAGGCUGGUCCUGGGAAAAAAAAGACAGGGAAAAGAAAGGAAAAGAGACAGCUAGGGAUAGUUAGGUUUUCUGUGAAAAAAUCUGGGAAUUACAGUUUGACUGAGGGAAGGUUCUGUCGGGUGUUUUAUGUGGAGUUUAUGUGGAGCUAAGCAGUGGAGGUUGUAUCUCUCACAGGAGGUUACAGGUUCCAUCCCAGUGUCAGAGACACAAACACCCCCAGUGUCCCCAUCACAAGUCUUCCUCCAGUACGAGUGUGCCCCUUCACUUACCGUCCCAACGGAUACACCCCCCCAGUCUGCCUGUUGCAGUCACGCUGCCGCUCACACUGAGGAGAAUGUAGCAGGUCUCAGAUCGGAGGAUCCUAGUUGCCGUGACUACUGUCAGUCAGAGGCCCGCGACUGUGGGAGUGGCCAAGCAUUGCCACCUGGAGACUGUGGGAGUGGCCAAGCAUUGCCGCCUGGAGACUGUGGGAGGAGUCAGCCAUCAAACCCAGAAGACAGUGCUGGUAGUAAAGCCUCUGAACCAGAAGAUAGUGGGAGGAGCAAUGCAUUACAACCAACAGAUAUUGGGUGUGAUCUAGAGCAUUGUGGGAGUUUCCAUUCUCGAGCUCUACUGACUGUUUUAAUAACAGGCUCAGAUAAGGAAGGAGGGGGCCACGAGUUGUACUGCUUUCCCUGGGUUCAGACUGAACAGCAGUUAGAGGAAUCCCCUACCCAACCCACUCCAGCUGAGAGCCCCUUUUUCUUCCCCCUGACACGACCCCGAGCCCCACAGCCCCCCGUUAUGCCCGUCCUCCCGGAAGAAGAGGAGGAUUCCCCUGAGGAGCUCGACAGUUCCUCCAGCUCACCCAGCACAUAUACACCAGUUGAAAGUAGAGCAGUUACCGUGGCGAUGCCUGCUCCCACUAUUGUCUUCCCAAAGCAAGCUACCGUGACCGUGGUCCAAGCAGACGGUCGCCCUCUGGAACAGACCAGGUACAUGUGUUAUUUCAUCCUGAGAACAGGACUGUUCAUGUCAAAAAGGUUUGAGAGCAAACCACCUCUUGA